GAUGAACGCUAGCGACAGGCUUAACACAUGCAAGUCGAGGGGCAGCGGGGGUAGCAAUACCCGCCGGCGACCGGCGCACGGGUGAGUAACGCGUAUGCAACUUACCUAUCAGAGGGGGAUAACCCGGCGAAAGUCGGACUAAUACCGCAUGAAGCAGGGAUCCCGCAUGGGAAUAUUUGCUAAAGAUUCAUCGCUGAUAGAUAGGCAUGCGUUCCAUUAGGCAGUUGGCGGGGUAACGGCCCACCAAACCGACGAUGGAUAGGGGUUCUGAGAGGAAGGUCCCCCACAUUGGUACUGAGACACGGACCAAACUCCUACGGGAGGCAGCAGUGAGGAAUAUUGGUCAAUGGCCGAGAGGCUGAACCAGCCAAGUCGCGUGAGGGAUGAAGGUUCUAUGGAUCGUAAACCUCUUUUAUAAGGGAAUAAAGUGCGGGACGUGUCCCGUUUUGUAUGUACCUUAUGAAUAAGGAUCGGCUAACUCCGUGCCAGCAGCCGCGGUAAUACGGAGGAUCCGAGCGUUAUCCGGAUUUAUUGGGUUUAAAGGGUGCGUAGGCGGCCUUUUAAGUCAGCGGUGAAAGUCUGUGGCUCAACCAUAGAAUUGCCGUUGAAACUGGGGGGCUUGAGUAUGUUUGAGGCAGGCGGAAUGCGUGGUGUAGCGGUGAAAUGCAUAGAUAUCACGCAGAACCCCGAUUGCGAAGGCAGCCUGCCAAGCCAUGACUGACGCUGAUGCACGAAAGCGUGGGGAUCAAACAGGAUUAGAUACCCUGGUAGUCCACGCAGUAAACGAUGAUCACUAGCUGUUUGCGAUACACUGUAAGCGGCACAGCGAAAGCGUUAAGUGAUCCACCUGGGGAGUACGCCGGCAACGGUGAAACUCAAAGGAAUUGACGGGGGCCCGCACAAGCGGAGGAACAUGUGGUUUAAUUCGAUGAUACGCGAGGAACCUUACCCGGGUUUGAACGCAUUCGGACCGAGGUGGAAACACCUUUUCUAGCAAUAGCCGUUUGCGAGGUGCUGCAUGGUUGUCGUCAGCUCGUGCCGUGAGGUGUCGGCUUAAGUGCCAUAACGAGCGCAACCCUUGCCACUAGUUACUAACAGGUAAAGCUGAGGACUCUGGUGGGACUGCCAGCGUAAGCUGCGAGGAAGGCGGGGAUGACGUCAAAUCAGCACGGCCCUUACAUCCGGGGCGACACACGUGUUACAAUGGCGUGGACAAAGGGAAGCCACCUGGCGACAGGGAGCGAAUCCCCAAACCACGUCUCAGUUCGGAUCGGAGUCUGCAACCCGACUCCGUGAAGCUGGAUUCGCUAGUAAUCGCGCUUCAGCCAUGGCGCGGUGAAUACGUUCCCGGGCCU
rnacentral:rRNA from 1 species